rnacentral:rRNA from 1 species
AUUGAACGCUGGCGGCAUGCUUUACACAUGCAAGUCGAACGGUAACAGGGAGCUUGCUCCGCUGACGAGUGGCGAACGGGUGAGUAAUGCGUCGGAACGUGCCGAGUAGUGGGGGAUAACGCAUCGAAAGGUGUGCUAAUACCGCAUACGUACUGAGGUAGAAAGUGGGGGACCUUCGGGCCUCACGCUAUUCGAGCGGCCGACGUCUGAUUAGCUAGUUGGGGAGGUAAAGGCUCACCAAGGCGACGAUCAGUAGCGGGUCUGAGAGGAUGGUCCGCCACACUGGGACUGGGACACGGCCCAGACUCCGACGGGAGGCAGCAGUGGGGAAUUUUGGACAAUGGGCGCAAGCCUGAUCCAGCCAUGCCGCGUGUCUGAAGAAGGCCUUCGGGUUGUAAAGGACUUUUGUCAGGAACGAAACGGCGAGCUCUAACAUAGCUUGCUAAUGACGGUACCUGAAGAAGAAGCACCGGCUAACUACGUGCCAGCCGCCGCAGUAACAC